CAAUAGCGUAUAUUUAAGUUGUUGCAGUUAAAAAGCUCGUAGUUGGAUUUCGGAUGGGACUUGCCGGUCCGUCGUUUCGAUGUGCACUGGCCAGUCCUAUCUUGUUGUCGGGGACUAGCUCCUGGGCUUCACUGUCCGGGACUAGGAGCCGACGAAGUUACUUUGAGUAAAUUAGAGUGUUCAAAGCAAGCCUACGCUCUGAAUAUAUUAGCAUGGAAUAACAUGAUAGGACUCUGGCUUAUCUUGUUGGUCUGUGAGACCAGAGUAAUGAUUAAGAGGGACAGUCGGGGACAUUCGUAUUUCAUUGUCAGAGGUGAAAUUCUUGGAUUUAUGAAAGACGAACUUCUGCGAANGNAUUUGUNAAGGAUGUUUNCAUUA
rnacentral:rRNA from 1 species